AUACGGAGGAUCCGAGCGUUAUCCGGAUUUAUUGGGUUUAAAGGGUGCGUAGGUGGUUUGAUAAGUCAGCGGUGAAAGUUUGCAGCUUAACUGUAAAAAUGCCGUUGAAACUGUCGGACUUGAGUGUAAAUGAGGUAGGCGGAAUGCGUGGUGUAGCGGUGAAAUGCAUAGAUAUCACGCAGAACUCCGAUUGCGAAGGCAGCUUACUAAGCUACAACUGACACUGAAGCUCGAAGGUGCGGGUAUC
rnacentral:rRNA from 1 species